rnacentral:rRNA from 1 species
AUUGAACGCUGGCGGCAUGCCUUACACAUGCAAGUCGAACGGCAGCACGGGAGCAAUCCUGGUGGCGAGUGGCGAACGGGUGAGUAAUACAUCGGAACGUGCCCAGUAGUGGGGGAUAGC